rnacentral:rRNA from 1 species
GUAGGGGGCAAGCGUUGUCCGGAUUUAUUGGGCGUAAAGAGCUCGUAGGCGGUUCGGUAAGUCGGGUGUGAAACCUCCAGGCUCAACCUGGAGAUGCCACCUGAUACUGCUGUGACUCGAGUCCGGUAGGGGAGCGUGGAAUUCCUGGUGUAGCGGUGAAAUGCGCAGAUAUCAGGAGGAACACCAGCGGCGAAGGCGGCGCUCUGGGCCGGAACUGACGCUGAGGAGCGAAAGCGUGGGUAGCAAACAGG